rnacentral:rRNA from 1 species
AGAGAAUAGAUACCCAGGUAGUCCACGCUGUAAACGAUCGGUACUAGGAUUGGUGGGAGUUGACCCCUGCCGAUCCGGAGCUAAACGCGAUAAGUACCGCGCCUGGGAAGUACGGUCGCAAGACUAAAACUCAAAGGAAUUGACGGGAGCCCGCACAAGCGGUGGAUUAUGUGGUUUAAAUUCGAAGCAACGCGCAGAACCUUACCUAGGUUUGACAUCCUUUGACAACUGCAGAGAUGUAGCUUUCGUAGCAAUACGACAAAGAGACAGGUGCUGCAUGGCUGUCGUCAGCUCGUGUGGUGGCAUGUCGGGUUAAGUUCCCUCAACGAGCGCAACCCCUGUUUUUAGUUGCCAGCAUUAAGUUGGGCACUCUAGAAAGACUGCCGUGGUUAACACGGAGGAAGGCGGGGAGUGACGUCAAGUCCUCAUGGCCCUUACACCUAGGGCGACACACGUAAGUACAAUGGUUGGUACAGAGGGAAGCGAAACAGCAAUGUGGAGCAAAUCUCAAAAACGCCAAUCUCAGUUCGGAUUGAAGUCU